rnacentral:rRNA from 1 species
UCAAGCGAACAAGGGCGCAGGGCGAAUGCCUUGGCACUGGGAGCCGAUGAAAGACGUGAUAAGCUGCGAUAAGCUUCGGGGAGCUGCAAAUAAGCAUUGAUCCGGAGAUUUCUGAAUGAGGAAACUCACCUGGGUUCAUACUCAGGUACGUUGUACUGAAAUUCAAAAUAGGUACAUCGGGGGAACCGCCUGAACUGAAACAUCUAAGUAGGGCGAGGAAGAGACAUCAAACGAGAUUCCGUAAGUAGUGGCGAGCGAACGCGGAAGAGGGCAAACCGAAGGUAGAAAUACCUUCGGGGUACGGACUGCUUUUAGGACUCGAUCUGUUAACCGAACGGCAUGGGAAGGCCGGUCAGAGAGUGUGAGAACCACGUAGGUGAAAACGGAAAGAGCUGCGCAGAUUCCAGAGUACGGCCAGACACGUGAAACCUGGUCGGAAGAUGGGGGGACCACCCUCCAACCCUAAAUACUACCCAGUGACCGAUAGCGUAUAGUACUGUGAAGGAAAGGUGAAAAGCACCCCGGGAGGGGAGUGAAAAAGAACCUGAAACCCUGUGCCUACAAGCACCUAGAGCACGUCAAAGUGUGAUAGGGUACUUUUUGUAGAACGGUCCGGCGAGCGAUUGUAUGCAGCAAGGUUAAGGACUUAAGGUCUGGAGCCGAAGCGAAAGCGAGUUUGAAAAGGGCGUUAAGUUGCAUAUAAUGGGCCCGAAACCGGGUGACCUACCCAUGGUCAGGUUGAAGUGGAAGUAAAAUUCCAUGGAGGACCGAACCGACCUCCGUUGAAAAGGCGGCGGAUGAACUGUGGGUAGCGGAGAAAUUCCAAUCGAACCCGGAGAUAGCUGGUUCUCCCCGAAAUAGUUUUAGGACUAGCCUCAAGUUAGAUACCUGGAGGUAAAGCACUGAAUAGCCUAGCGGCCGAGAGGUUAGCGAAGCUUAUCAAACUCAGAAUGCCAGAGUAUUGAUGCUUGGGAGUCAGACAGUGUCAGAUAAAUGUCAUUGUCAAAAGGGAAACAGCCCAGAUCUACAGCUAAGGUCCCAAAGUCAGGUUAAGUGGAAAACGAUGUGAAGAUACGCAGACAACCAGGAUGUUGGCUCAGAAGCAGCCACUCAUUCAAAGAGUGCGUAAUAGCUCACUGGUCGAGCGUCUUUGCGCGGAGAAUUUAACGGGGCUAAACCUGACACCGAAGCUUAGGCAAUCCAGCAAUGGAUUGGGUAGGGGAGCGUUGUAUACGCGGAGAAACAGUAGCGUAAGCGGCUGUGGAGUGUAUAGAAGUGAGAAUGCCGGAAUGAGUAGCGCGAAUGCAGUGAGAAUCUGCAUGGCCGAAAGCCUCAGGUUUUUGGAGGAAGGUUCGUCCGCUCCAAGUUAGUCGGGAGCUAAGGUGAGGCCGGAAGGCGUAGCCGAUGCACAGACGGUAGAGAUUCCGUCACCACCAAAAGAGUUAAGCACAGGGACACAUUUGAAGUCUCAGAGCCGGGUGUUGGUUCCGGUAGAGAUCGAGGGAAAUUAGUACCGAAGUCUGGGAUGGAAGAUGGCGAGAAAAGCUGUGUGUAUUUCUGAGGUGCCCGUACCGCAAACCGACACAGGUAGGUAGGAAGAAGAUUCUAAGGCCAACGGGAGAAGGGUUGUUAAGGAACUCGGCAAAUUGACCCCGUAACUUCGGGAGAAGGGGUGCUCCAGAGAUGGAGCCGCAGAGAAUCGGCCCAAGCAACUGUUUACCAAAAACACAGGUUUGUGCUAAAUCGAAAGAUGACGUAUACGAGCUGACGCCUGCCCGGUGCUGGAAGGUUAAGAGGAGAUGUGCAAGCAUUGAAUCGAAGCCCCAGUGAACGGCGGCCGUAACUAUAACGGUCCUAAGGUAGCGAAAUUCCUUGUCAGGUAAG